rnacentral:lncRNA from 1 species
AAUUGCAAAGCUUCACGAAAGUACAAUGUGAGAUUCCUCGGGUUCCGAUUCCCAUUUGACAGCAGCCACGGCACAAGUUUCCUUCCGAACAGUACAAUUUGUCAUCAGGGUCACCAACUUGAGUUUGAAACGCGUGCUAUAUAUAUCAGCAGUUCACGUUCAGCACUGCACGGCAGCAUAAAGAGAGAUUCUUCGAGUCUCAAUUAGUAGCAGAUAAAUUUUCCAAUCAGCAUCUAGACCAGAUAAAUCUCUCCCUCCAUCCAAGAAUCUACUUUACCCGAGACUUUGCCGUGCGCUCAUUGGGCUCAAUCAUAUGCGAUAAACCGAAGUUCUAUCCGCCGCGCCAUCGCCUUCUUUCCCUCUUUAUAAAAGGCCAGCAAGGAGAUCAGGCUUCUUCCAACACCACA